UACGAUAAAGGCAAACCUUGAGUAAUCAGGGGACGCAAAGGAAAGGGUCUUGUAAUAGUGGACAGUGUCAGUAUAAGUAAUAGACGCUUACACUCACAACUGACACGAUUAAAAUAAGAUAGCCUUACUGCCGAAG
rnacentral:ncRNA from 1 species